UGGCUCAGAUGGUAAAGCGUCCACCUGCAAUGCGGGAGACCCAGGUUCGAUCCCUGG
rnacentral:tRNA from 1 species